GGCCCGGUGGGGGAAUGGCUACUCUAGGAAGCGGGAACGCUUCUACAUCCUGGUUCAAAUCCAGGCUGGGCCUCCA
rnacentral:tRNA from 1 species